rnacentral:rRNA from 1 species
GUGUCAGCCGCCGCGGUAAGACGUAGGGAGCGAGCGUUGUCCGGAUUCAUUGGGCGUAAAGCGCGCGUAGGCGGCCUCGCAAGUCGGUUGUGAAAUCCCGGGGCUCAACCCCGGGACUGCGUCCGAUACUGCGAGGCUGGAGGUAGGUAGGGGAGAUCGGAAUUCCUGGUGUAGCGGUGAAAUGCGCAGAUAUCAGGAGGAACACCGGUGGCGAAGGCGGAUCUCUGGGCCUUACCUGACGCUGAGGCGCGAAAGCUAGGGGAGCGAACAGGAUUAGAAACCCCAGUAGUCC